rnacentral:lncRNA from 1 species
CCAUUUAUCCAAAUCUGACCUUUUCCCAUUGAGUUCAUGUCUAAGGCCAAUGGUUCAUUGCCUACUGGUGUGUCAAAAGUAGACUGCAAAAAGAUAUGGUAAGAAUCCCAUCGCUUUUAUUUUCUCAUCAUAUUAAUAUAACAGGUUGGUGGCAUGAUUCAUCAAUCCUUCUGUUUCUCUUACCUUGUACCAGGUCAAGGGUUGCUUUUCGACCACCAAUGGUCCUGCUUUCCAUUCCACGGUGGAGCUCCCGGUUACGGUAUGAAUGCUCAGAGCUUCACCCUUUGUACCAAUCUGCUUGAAACACAAAAGAACACAAAAUUUUAUUUCACUGUUAUGAUGGUUGGUAAGAUGGGGGUAACAGGGAAGUCAAACUCGUUUCUCUGGAUUUUCAGGAGGACCUUGUAAGACCAUUUCCAUUUAGACAUGUCCCAUGUUCCAGAGUUAACUCCCUUCAGUGUCACUGGACCAAGAACUCCAGUAUUCCAAGUCUC